AGGAUGAACGCUAGCGGCGCGCUUAACGCAUGCAAGUCGAGCGAUGAGGCUCCCUUCGGGGGGUACAUCAGCGGCAGACGGGUGAGUAACACGUAGGUAACCUGCCCUCAAGACGGGGAUAACGCCUGGAAACGGGCGCUAAUACCGGAUGACCUUGGUCGGGGAAGCUUCGGCUAAGGAAAGGCUUUGGCGCUUGAGGAGGGGCCUGCGGCCCAUCAGUUAGUUGGUAGGGUAACGGCCUACCAAGGCGAAGACGGGUAGGGGGUGUGAGAGCACGGCCCCCCACACUGGGACUGAGACACGGCCCAGACUCCUACGGGAGGCAGCAGCGGGGAAUAUUGCGCAAUGGACGGAAGUCAGACGCAGCGACGCCGCGUGGGUGAAGAAGGCCUUCGGGUUGUAAAGCCCUUUUCUGUGGGAAGAGAAAGGACGGUACCAUAGGAAUAAGCGUCGGCUAACUACGUGCCAGCAGCCGCGGUAAGACGUAGGACGCGAGCGUUAUCCGGAUUUACUGGGCGUAAAGCGUGUGUAGGCGGCGUGACAAGUUGGGCGUGAAAGCCCCGUGCUCAACGCGGGGAGGCCGCACAAUACUGUCAGGCUAGAGGGCAUCAGAGGGGUGUGGAAUUCCCGGAGUAGCGGUAAAAUGCGCAGAUAUCGGGAGGAACACCGGUGGCGAAAGCGGCACCCUGGGGGUGCACCUGACGCUGAGAGACGACAGCUAGGGGAGCGAACAGGAUUAGAGACCCUGGUAGUCCUAGCCGUAAACGAUGGAUGCUAGGUGUGGGAGUGAAGAACUUCUGUGCCGCAGCGAACGCGAUAAGCAUCCCGCCUGGGGAGUACGGCCGCAAGGUUAAAACUCAAACGAAUUGACGGGGACCCGCACAAGCAGCGGGAGCGUGUGGUUUAAUUCGAUGCUACACGAAGAACCUUACCUGGGAUUGACAUAUGGGUGGUAGUAAGCCCGAAAGGCAAGCGACCCUUCGGGGAGCCU
rnacentral:rRNA from 1 species